UACGUAGGCAGCAAGCGUUGUUCGGAAUUACUGGGCGUAAAGAGCGUGUAGGCGGUGUUCCAAGUCUGGUGUGAAAUCUCCCGGCUUAACUGGGAGGGUGCAUUAGAAACUGGAAUGCUAGAGGAUGGGAGAGGUAAGCGGAAUUCCUGGUGUAGCGGUGAAAUGCGUAGAUAUCAGGAGGAACACCUGUGGUGUAGACAGCUUACUGGACCAUUUCUGACGCUGAGACACGAAAGCGUGGGUAGCAAACAGG
rnacentral:rRNA from 1 species